CCUACGGGAGGCAGCAGUGGGGAAUAUUGGGCAAUGGAGGAAACUCUGACCCAGCGACGCCGCGUGCGGGAUGAAGGCCUUCGGGUUGUAAACCGCUUUCAGCAGGGAAGAAGCGAAAGUGACGGUACCUGCAGAAGAAGCACCGGCUAACUAUGUGCCAGCAGCCGCGGUAAUACAUAGGGUGCAAGCGUUGUCCGGAAUUAUUGGGCGUAAAGAGCUCGUAGGUGGUUCGUCACGUCGGAUGUGAAAACUCUGGGGCUUAACCCCGAGACCUGCAUUCGAUACGGGCGAGCUUGAGUAUGGUAGGGGAGUCUGGAAUUCCUGGUGUAGCGGUGGAAUGCGCAGAUAUCAGGAGGAACACCGAAUGGCGAAGGCAGGACUCUGGGCCAUUACUGACACUGAGGAGCGAAAGCGUGGGGAGCGAACAGGAUUAGAUACCCUGGUAGUCCACGCCGUAAACGGUGGGCACUAGUUGUGGGGACCUUCCACGGUCUCUGCGACGCNGCUACGCAUAGUCGCCCGCCGUCGGGAGGUACGAGUCGACGAAGAAGUUAAACGUAACGUAAAGGUUAAGUUAGUACGGACGUUGAGACGNGCCGACGGACGACGACGAGGGAGGAGG
rnacentral:rRNA from 1 species